CAAACUGGAGAUGGCGACCGGCGCACGGGUGAGUAACACGUAUCCAACCUGCCUCAUACUCGGGGAUAGCCUUUCGAAAGAAAGAUUAAUAUCCGAUAGCAUAUAUUUCCCGUAUGGGUUUUAUAUUAAAGAAAUUCGGUAUGAGAUGGGGAUGCGUUCCAUUAGUUUGUUGGGGGGUAACGGCCCACCAAGACUACGAUGGAUAGGGGUUCUGAGAGGAAGGUCCCCCACAUUGGAACUGAGACACGGUCCAA
rnacentral:rRNA from 1 species